rnacentral:rRNA from 1 species
AACGAACGCUGGCGGCGUGCCUAACACAUGCCAGUCGAACGAGAAAGGGGCUUCGGCUCCGAGUAAAGUGGCGCACGGGUGAGUAACACGUGGGUAACCUGCCUCUAAGAUUGGGAUAACUCGUCGAAAGAUGAGCUAAUACCGAAUAAGACCACAGUUCCCGCGGGAACAGGGGUCAAAGGUAGCCUCUGCUUGCAAGCUAUCACUUAGAGAUGGGCCUGCGCACCAUUAGCUAGUUGGUAGGGUAACGGCCUACCAAGGCAAAGAUGGUUAGCUGGUCUGAGAGGAUGAUCAGCCACACUGGAACUGAGACACGGUCCAGACUCCUACGGGAGGCAGCAGUGGGGAAUAUUGCGCAAUGGGCGAAAGCUUGACGCAGCAACGCCGCGUGAGUGAUGAAGGCCUUCGGGUCGUAAAGCUCUGUCGGGAGGAACGAAUGCUCCUGAGGUUAACAGCCUCGGGAGGUGACGGUACCUUCAAAGGAAGCACCGGCUAACUCUGUG